UAUAAAGAGAUCUCUCUUACUCUCUGUGUGUAUAAAUCAUAGUGUACUGAGUCAUAGCCAUUAUAAAGAGAUCCCUCUUACUCUCUGU